rnacentral:tRNA from 1 species
AGGAUAAUAGUUAAUUAUAAUAUUUAAUUUGCAAUUAAAAGGUAUUGAUCAAUCAAUUUAUCUUA